rnacentral:rRNA from 1 species
AGACUGCCGUGGAUAACACGGAGGAAGGUGGGGACGACGUCAAAUCAUCAUGCCCCUUAUGUCCUGGGCUACACACGUACUACAAUGGCAACAACAAAUAGCAGCAAGUCCGCGAGGCCAAGCGAAUCUCAAAAUGUUGUCCCAGUUCGGAUUGCAGGCUGCAACUCGCCUGCAUGAAGUCGGAAUUGCUAGUAAUGGCAGGUCAGCAUACUGCCGUGAAUACGUUCCCGGGCCUU